UAAGGAAUAUUGGUCAAUGGACGAUAGUCUGAACCAGCCAUGCCGCGUGCAGGAAGAGAGCCUUAUGGGUUUUAAACUGCUUUUGUCAGGGAAUAAUACUAGUUAUGUAUAACUAAGUUGAAUGUACUUGAAGAAUAAGGAUCGGCUAACUCCGUGCCAGCAGCCGCGGUAAUACGGAGGAUUCGAGCGUUAUCCGGAUUUAUUGGGUUUAAAGGGUGCGUAGGCUGUUUUGUAAGUCAGUGGUGAAAUGUAGAGGCUUAACCUCUGCAGUGCCAUUGAAACUAUAGGACUUGAGUGAAGAUGAAGUUGGCGGAAUGUGUCAAGUAGCGGUGAAAUGCAUAGAUAUGACACAGAACACCGAUAGCGAAGGCAGCUGACUAAGGUUCGACUGACGCUGAUGCACGAAGGCGUGGGGAUCAAACAGGAUUAGAUACCCCGGUAGUCC
rnacentral:rRNA from 1 species